UGUAGAAAGGGCAGUAAAAGAGUCCCACACGUUUCUUCUUUCCUAGUAGCACUUUAUUUGCUCAGAAAUAGCAUAUUUACAGUUCAUAUACACCAUCUGAUUGAAGCUGCAUUUUGCUCCCUGUUUGCAUCCUUCUCUCUCAGUGGCAGCUGCGCAACUAAGCUGCUUUCACUUUUCACUCAGCUCACAGCAUUCCAAGCUGCUUCCGUCACGUCCUGGCUUACUUCCCUUGUAAGCGCCUCCUCUCAGCCUCGAGACACAGAAGGUUAACCCUUCACUACACCCAACACCCCCUCUUGUCUCGCGCCUGAGGGGAGAAUCGACCCUUGGUCGUCCCAAACACAGACCUUCACAAAACUCCCCAUGUCUUUGGAAGGUGAGUGGCUUCGUGAACCCAUCAGCUAGAUUCUUGGCAGAGGGACAAUACUUCAGCGCAACUAAUCCCUCCUGAACACUUUGGCACACAUUCCGAAAGCGAAUGUCUAGGUGUUUCGUUCUGGCCUUGAACUGACCUGACUCUGCCAAACGCAGGCAUGGUUGAUUGUCCUCGAAAACACGUAUCGGCAGACAAUCCACUUCGCAGAGUUCCUGCACCAAACAAGCAUAGAACUCUACUU